rnacentral:lncRNA from 1 species
AUUAGGAGGUGUUUUAGGUAAAUUGCUCAGGGGUUGGGGUGGGAUAAAAUGUCCCCGCUGCUUGUGGGCCUUAUCAGUGUAUUUUUCUGUGUUCCAUCCUUGGCGGAGGGAGACCGAGUGCUUCUGAUAAAGACGCGGGGUGUGACUCCACAACAGAGGAUGGAGCACGGCUGCCGUGGAGAUUCUGGCUCGGCCACUGUCACCUCUGGGAAUUCUCUCGGCAUGAGUGAGGAACUACCAAUCCCUCAUCGGCCACCAGUCCCAGGAGGGCAAAGGGGAAAAGUUGUAGGAGUCUGCCGAACCCUUUCAAAGAUCUGAGGCAGAUGCCAGAGGGGCAGAGGACUAGUGAGCGAAGACCAUCCUCAAAGUACCCACCAUGCCCACUACCUCAGCUGAAAGGGCGACAGUGGUGCAGUGGUAGAGAAGUCAGGUUAGUAAUCAGAAGGUUGCUAGUUCGAUUCCCUGUCGAAGCGUCCUUGAGCAAGACACUGAACCCCUAAUUGCUCCUGAUGUGCAGUGUGCCAUCAGUGUAAAUGUAAAAUGUGUAUACAGCCUUGUAAGUCGAUUUGGAUAAAAGCGUCGGCUAAAUGACUAAAUGUAAAUGUAAAGGUUCUUGAGGCAGGUACAGGGCUCCUCUGUGUCUUCUACCCUUUAGUUCC